AGCCUACGGGGCGCAGCAGUAGGGAAUUUUCGUCAAUGGGCGCAAGCCUGAACGAGCAAUGCCGCGUGAACGAGGAAGGUCUUCGGAUCGUAAAGUUCUGUUGAAGGGGAAAAAGAGCGGAGAGAGGAAAUGCUUUCUGAUUGAUAUUACCCUUCGAGGAAGUCACGGCUAACUACGCGCCAGCAGCCGCGGUAAUACGUAGGUGGCGAGCGUUAUCCGGAAUGAUUGGGCGUAAAGGGUGCGUAGGCGGCCUGCUAAGUCUGGAGUGAAAGGUACCGGCUCAACCGGUACAGGCUCUGGAAACU
rnacentral:rRNA from 1 species